UUUUUUUUUUUUUUUUUUUAAAAAAAAAGGAGCUGGAAUAUAUAUGCAGCAGCCACCUGGAGAAAGAAGAAAGGGCGGCUCAUAUCAGUGCUUCCCCUUUCCUCUUCCCAUGGCAGCAUGGCUUCCCUGUCCUGGCUUUCAUCCUCAGAACAGGAAAUCUCAACUUUGCCCACACUUCUUGAGAUGGUUUAAGACAGCUUUAUAUAUGAACACCUGAAAACAAGACAGCUUGAGAUUCCAGGAACCUUUCUCAAGCCCACAACAGGGAAGAUAUCUGCCUUGUUCUUUCUUUCUUUCAUCUACAACUACUGCAGACGUUUUGCUCCAGGAUUAUAAGAUUGUGUCUCUAGGAAUGAGAGAGCCUCUGGGAAAGUACUACGUUCCUUAUCUGUCAUUUUGGGAACUGACAUAAACUGCCAUUGAGUUCAUCUGUAUUUCCUAGAAUACGCUCAGGACUUCACCAGAUCAGACCUAUGUAAAAACAAACACAUACAAAAUACUGGAUGUACCCAAAUUUCCUGACUCACUUUAUCAAAUUCACAGCUGUAUAGUUCCAGGUAAAGAAGUAGAUAUACUAUUCUUAUUAGUUUUUCUAUUUCAGAAAACAUGUAAGAUUGAAGACUGUAACUUAACUGAAGCCAGGGAUACGAAAAAAGAGGAAGUAGAAGAAUAAUGUACCAAUAAAAUGUUGACAGUUCUCUGUUUUUUGCCAAUUGUUGAUAAAAUGACAGACGGUAAUGUUUAUGAAAUGUAUAAUUCAAAGCAAAUUUGCCUAGAUAACCAAGUUAAAGAUGCUUUAUCUUCCCUAACAAACAUAAUGCAGCAAUCAGCAAAACCCAGAGUACAUAAUACAAACUGAAAAUGCAAGAAAACAAAUCUUUUCUUUUUGCCUAAGUCAACAUAUUUUCCGAGCACAAAUAAAAUUUUUGGCUUUCUUUCAAAUCUUCACAGCUAAUCAAUAGUUUAGUCAUACGAUGAAAAAUGAUGUAUCCAUAUUCUUCACAAUUGACAUUUCCUAACUGUCUCCAAGGUCGCAUUGAUUGCCAGUUGUUCAGUUUACCCAACUUCUGUUUUGAGCCAAAUAAUAUGAUCUUUGUUUCAUUAAUAUUUAAUAGUAAUUUAGAUUGCGCCAGAUGAUCUUAAAGCUCAUUUAAAUCAGCUUGAAGAUAAUAUUAAGCUUUCUUCUAGUAUAAUCUAUUAUCAUAAAUGAUUGUGUCAUCUGCAUAUAAAUGGUGAGUUGAAUAUGAUAAUGAAGUGCAAAGAUUAUCAAUAUAGAACAACAAAUGCAUCUGACUUAAAAUAAAUCCUUCAGGGACCCAUUUACUCUGUUUUCAGUGGUAAAUGAUGCAUCGUUUCACUUCAAGUAUUCUACAGAAAACAUAAAAGAUUUGGAUCAUGAGAUAUAAUAUUUAUCCUCUGUGGGGAAAAAAAAAGAAAAUAAAGAUCCCACAUUGUAGAACUCUUUUCAAGUGUGGUAAUUACAGUCCAUAUAGAUCCAUUAUACUUGCAGUAUGACAGACCUUGAUUAAUUAUUAGUGUUUUUUUUUUUUUUUUAAGAGUGAUUACAGUGAAGAAUGUGUUUUUAUUUAAAGCAGGUUUAGUUUGUAUUUGUUUUUCACUAGCUGGUCAUUCAAAUUAGUUCGUUCUAAUUAUCGGCAAAUACCAUGCCCAUUGAAUAAAAGUACCUGAAUGCAGUUAACAGUGUGACACUCAAAGCUGUUCCCUCUAUAAAAACGACAGCUGGGAGGGCUGCAGGGAAACCCUGCUUGGCAAUAAGGCUGCAUUUAAAAGAAUUAAAUUGUCAAAUUCUCUAGACUCAUGGGCUUAAUUAAAAGUCUGUGGACAAUUUCAGUGACAAAAGAAACAAUUACAGCAGUCAGAAAUACUAAUAAAUAUAUCAGAAAUGGUUAAAAGCAGUUGAAAAUUAAGUAAGUGCAUUUACUGGCAAAUAUUGUCCAAGGAAAUGAUAACACAUAGCCAUGAUAUGGCACUGUGGAAAACAUGCUGAGGUGAAAGAAACUAUUGGAAUCCAGCACCUGGAGAGCAUUGGGAAAACAGACAGAUCAGAUCCAUGAGGCAGCUAUUCACUGUCCAUUCAAAAUCAUCCUACACAAAGUUCCAGGUAUAUUGUUAUUAUAAAGACUGGUUAUUGUAAAAUUUUAUAUAACUGAAGUAAUCAUUUAGCUUGGGUGCAUGUACUUAUGAAGAAGAUCCAGUGUUGCUUUGGCCUCCUAGGACAUCAGCUCAGAAGCUGUCAGCAUUUGGUCUGACAGAGUCAUCUGUGCAAUAAAGCACUCAUGAAUAAAUUUGGACUAGAAAGUGCGAAGGCUUUAUUUAUUCAAGAAUGAAAUUUGGAAAAGCCUUGUCAAUACAGUCAUGGGAGCAAGACAUGCACAAACCAAGACACGCUUACUGAAGGGAUUGUAAAUUAG
rnacentral:lncRNA from 1 species